rfam:Gossypium hirsutum cultivar TM-1 unplaced genomic scaffold scaffold643.1, whole genome shotgun sequence
CCUGAGGAAGCGUUUCGCCUACGUGGAAAGAAAUCGCUUCCUUAAGGGCGCGCUUUAUGUCCAAGUAGGCAAAACGCUUCCUUAGGG